GCCCAAGGUCACGCGGCAAAGCAGAUACGGGUCUCGGCGGAACCCAAGUAUCCAGGCUCCAGACUCAGAGCUCCGCAGCGUACAGGUCUCACAGGAAAUUCUCAGCUCCUAGGCAUGGGUCCUUGGGCUUCUUGCCUCGGAAGCGCAGCAGCCGGCAUCGUGGAAAAGUGAAGAGCUUCCCUAAGGAUGACCCUUCCAAGCCUGUUCACCUCACAGCCUUCCUAGGGUACAAGGCUGGCAUGACCCACAUUGUCCGGGAAGUUGACCGGCCAGGAUCUA
rnacentral:lncRNA from 1 species